UACGUAGGGUGCAGGCGUUAAUCGGAAUUACUGGGCGUAAAGCGUGCGCAGGCGGUUUGCUAAGACAGGUGUGAAAUCCCCGGGCUUAACCUGGGAACUGCGCUUGUAACUGGCAAGCUAGAGUGUGGCAGAGGGGGGUGGAAUUCCACGUGUAGCAGUGAAAUGCGUAGAGAUGUGGAGGAACGCCGAUGGCGAAGGCAGCCCCCUGGGCUAACACUGACGCUCAUGCACGAAAGCGUGGGGAGCAAACAGG
rnacentral:rRNA from 1 species